UACGAAGGAUGCAAGCGUUAUCCGGAUUUAUUGGGUUUAAAGGGUGCGUAGGCGGACUUAUAAGUCAGUGGUGAAAUCUCGUUGCUUAACAACGAACGUGCCAUUGAUACUGUAGGUCUUGAGUACAGAUGCCGUUGGCGGAAUGUGUCAUGUAGCGGUGAAAUGCAUAGAUAUGACACAGAACACCGAUUGCGAAGGCAGCUGACGAAACUGUAACUGACGCUGAGGCUCGAAAGCGUGGGGAUCAAACAGG
rnacentral:rRNA from 1 species